rnacentral:lncRNA from 1 species
AGAGUUCCCUGUCAAAGAGCAACAAUUCAACUGCUUCAUCUCAAGCAAAGAGUACCACAUCAUCAAGAAGUUCUUAAAUCGAUGUGAAGAAAAUAUUUUAACAUUUGUGUUUAAGAAUAUAUAUUUGGUUUAUUUCACUUGUAACAACCUGUAUGCAUAUUUGGAUAGAAGCCUUGCUUCGUAGUGUAUAAUAAUAAUGCCCCCUGCCAAAGCAAUUUUAAGAAUCACAAGCCUUGUGCCUCGCUGUUCUCUCUAAUGAACUCUGAUUGAUCUAUGCUCCUCUGCAUUGACUAUUGGCUUCACCUAAUCGCUUCAAUUGGCAAAAUUAGGUAUUGAAAUGAAAGCGACUUGGAACUUGGAAGUUAUCCAGAAGAAGGGGAAAAACAGCAAAAACAAUCAAACAAACAAACAUAAACGUGACGUAGUAACAAAUAACAUGGGUCAAGAUAUAAAUCAACUGGCCAACAUUGUUCAAUAAACUUUUUCCAACAUCUAAACUUUUUCAACCGAACCUGAAUUUUCUUGAGAGUUUUUUUGAGGCAUCAUGAUUGGUAAGGAGCUUGAAGGCAAAGUUCAACAGUUUCAUGACAAAGUUACAACCAUCGAUGAAAAGGUUACGACCUUAGCCAAGCAAAAUAACGAUUUGCAGAAACUCAUGAAACAUCCUUCAGCAAUUGAGCCAGUUGCGAAAAGAAAAACAACCGACUACUGAUCAAAGACAAGUUGAUAUAUUUACUGGAGGGACCUCUGCUCCUCAAAUGGUAAUUGCUACCCAACCACCUCUUGAACCUGCCGAACGCAUUGGAAGUACUCUCAUGCAAGCUCGUAACAUAUGACUUGACUUUCUUAUUUUUCAUGGUGCCAAUCAAACGGGAUGGAUUUUUCGAUAUGAGCAAUAUCGUCGCCUUACUGGAUUAUCAGAUGCUGACUUAUUGUCCUUAGCUAUUGGCCAUCUUGAUGGUGAUACUGUACCUUGGUUUAAUUGGAUAGAGCAAACUAUGGGCGCAAUUUAAACGGGCUUUGACUACUCAAUUUGGGACAUUAGAAGAGAAUGAUGCAGUUGGCAGUCUUACCAAACUACGUCAAAUAGGGACCGUUCUUGACUAUCAACGACAAUUUGAAAAGUUGGCUAAUCAGACUAGAAAUUUAACUGAGUCUUUCUUUAUCAGUUGUUUCCUCUCUGGGUUGCGUGAAGAUAUCAAGGCUGGCGUACAACUGUUCAAACCUGUUAGUCUUGUACAAACUUUUGAACUUGCUAGGUUUAGUAAAAGACAAUUACUUUGCAAGGCAACUGUUCCCCUGUUCCUGCCAUCCAAGAUCUAGUCCCACAAUUACAGCCGACUCCUACUCCACCAACACCCUCUUUAUUAGGACUGAUUUCCUCUACCUUACCUAAUAAUGUCAAACGUUUAUCCUCAGCUGAGCAGACAGAAAGACGUUCUGAAGGGCUCUGUUUCAACUCUGAUGAGCAAUUCAAGCCUGAACAUCGUUGCAAACAAUCUCAACUAUUGCUUUUAGACGCUGCUAUACCUCUUCACAACCCUCCAAAACCGCCUGACCAUCAUUCGGAUUGGAAGAUCUCGAUUAUUGAGACUGGGUAAAAGGCUUUCAGACAAGCCUGUUUGAAGGGGCAGGGAAUGUUAGGACCCUAAUAAUUUAUUUUAUUACUUGUUUUAAUUUUUUUUCCUAUUAAUACUAGGUUUUCUUAUUUCAAUUAUGAAUUAAUGCUCUUAUUAAAUUACAAUUAGAACCGUCUUGAACUACUAUAAAUAAGUGGUUCUUAUUAUAUUUUUGAAGGAGCAACAAUAAAAUUAAUUCUAAUCUCAGUUAAUUCUUCUCUCUUCCCUCUGAAUUCUUAAAUUCUUCAUUUAUUUCUCCCUUAAUUCUCUAACCAAAACCUCAUAAUCCUACCAGUAACGGACUGCAUUACGUUCGAGAAGACGAUUUACACACACACAAGAUAAUAAAGGCAUUUAAAUCACCUAAUUAAGUUGUAUAGGGAUAAAUAAUUAAAUUACAAAAAGCUCGACAUAUACUGAAAAAUAAAAAAGAAAUUGAACAAAGUCAUAAAUUUAUUGACAUCUAAAUUCUGAAAAUUGGUGUGUGUCUUCAGUAGGGAAAGUUAUCAUUUACAUACGGUUAUUUUUAUUGAUAUUUAAUACCUCUAUUUUAUGUUCAAUUGGAAGGAAUUCUAGGCUGUUCAGUUUUCUACUUACGGUAUUAUCACGAUCGUUGUUAUUGAGAAAAUUGUGGCAAUUUUUUUGAUUGAUAAUGAUGAUUUUAGUACGUGGCAGGCUCGGUGAUGCUGUUAUUUCGCGGAGCAUUUGGAUGCCCGCUCUAUACUGGUGAUUUUCGCUGGGAAGCAAGUAAUCAGAGGGCCGAGAUAGGAAGGAACACGCUCGUCAAAGCUUUAAAAGAUGAUGUAGUCGACAUUCUUUAUUUGGAUAACACAUAUUGCAGUCCAUCAUAUGCUUUCUUGUUUGAGAACUUUAUAUAUCCAAACUGAUAUAUGAUAGCAGGUACACUUUUUAUAUUUUUCCUUUCUUGUUUGAGAACUUUCAGUUUCACUCCAGAAUUAUCUACUGAAUUAAAGAUUAAAAUGGGAGAUGAAAGAAAUAGUCCAGGUACUGAUUUGUAGUGUUAGUUAUCUGGAUGAAAACAGAUUGUUGACAUAAUUGCCUCCCAUCCAGAUCAUGACAUCAUCAUUGGGAUUGACUCACUUGGAAAAGAAAAACUUUUAUUUCACAUAUCGCAUAAGCUCAAUAUAAAGGUUUGCUCACCCUUUUAAUAUCGGAAAACCUUUUCUUACAUAACGAUCAUCACGAUGGUCUCUCCAAGGGGGAUGAAAUCGAUAGCAUAUAUACAGCAAAUUGACAUGUUAUCUAAUUUUUGGAUCACUUGUAGAUGAUUUAGAAGGAUUUUGAUAGUUUUUAUUCUUCUAACAUCUAAAAUAUGUUUUACUUUUUAGAAACUGGGCGGGUUAGAUUGUCAUUUGGUGGAUUUAAUUGUGGCCAAAUUCAUACAUGAAAUGUAUUGUCACACAUGUAUUAUUGGAUGCAUCCAAUUGUAUGUUCUUCCUCUUCAUGUGCCAUGAGAACUUAAAACUGCCCUCUUCAUCUCUUGCAAAAUGUUGUUUAGUCACAAGCAAGUGGAAUAAAAUUUUUGCAUUCAUUUCCAAAGCAGAUAUUUACUCUGUGUUUCUUGUUUCACAUUUCUUUUUUUUUUUAUAGAUUUGGGUGUGGCCAGAACGCCUGCAAACCAUGCAUCUGCUUGGCUUCCAUGACACAUUCACAACCAAAACUUCUCUUGCUAGAGUGCGAGCUGUUCCACGGUAUAGUUUUAGCAUUGAUACUUUAGAGAAUUUAAAUACAAUGCACCAAACCAUUGGAAUUAUGCCAUCUGGUCUUCCUUGGGUGGUUAAGCCUCUUAAAGGAGGUCCUGGUUCUCUUUUUGCUUCUUACCAAAGCAAAUGGAGAGCAACGGGUUGAACUCAGACUGAGAAACUAAAAGAAGCUUUGGGAUCAGUGGACAGGUUUCGUAAGUACAUAUAUUCAGUUCCAUAUUCUGAUCAGUCCUGCUUUGCAGGGAUAGAGGAAUUUUUAAACCGUGCCCAGCCAUCGAAUAUCAGAGGCAUCGUGUCUUCAUCGUCCUGUUAUGUUGACCCUCUUUACUACUUUGGCCACCUUUGCAGAGCAAAUCAACCAUCACUGAGGUAUAAGCAGCAACAGAGAGUGCAGCACAAAACAGUUGUAGCCGCCCAAAUGAAAUUCAUUGUUGAAAGUGGUAGAUCCACUAAGGUAGAUAGGAAACGAAGGACUGCGGAAGUAGGUAUUUUAGGAGUUCGCAUGAGUAAGGUGGAUGCCCUUAGGCGGGCCCGACGAGGUGCGAAGCUUGCUCGAAGUGAGAGUUCUGAUUAAUUAGUGUCAAAUAUCAAUAUCAGGUAAGCUUGAAAUUCUUGCGAGUAAUGUUGCCUGUAUCAGUUUGAAUUCAGAGUCUAUUGUAUGGUUGAAGAAUACAUAUGGUGGUGUAGGGUGUAAGAAAAAUAAUCUUUUAUUUAUUUAUUUAUUUAUCUUGGAUGUCUAAAGCGACGGCCUAUUAGUGCUCAUUAAAGAAAAUGGUUGUGCGAAAGCACUUCGUCUGGAUCAAUCAUUUGAUUGUUUACGCGGGAUAGUUAUAGCGACUUUUCAAACUCGUGGCCUUUAAACACAUUAUAGUUUGCAAUCGUGGUCUUUACUCUUUACUUGAUUUGCAAUGAGGUAAAGAAGUCAAAUGACGGACCAAGAUAUUAGUUGAAGAAGCCAUACUACGGAUACGUCGCACGAGGUAUAUGUAAUCCCACGACACCUGGCAAGCGGACCGAAUCCAUGCGACUAUAGUAGCAGAGUCCGAUUCUACCUGCAAUAUAGAAUGGCCGAGGUGAGCUGCAAGCUCUAAGCUCUCAUGAACAGCCAUAAGCUCUAUGUAAAGGAUCGGACGAUAACCUAGGAAUGAUCCAAAAGUGCCUAAGAGCUCUCCCCAAGAGUCACGUAAAAUGCCCCCUGAAGCAGCCAUCCCUGGGUUUCCCCUAGAGCACCCAUCCACUGUCAACUUCACCACCCCCGGAGGUGGUCGAAUCCGAGAAAUCAGCCGAAGUGGUCUCCUAUGCCGUGUAACAACACGCCAUCCGUCCACUAAUCUACUAUCCAGGACGCCGCGCAGUUGGGAUGUUUUAAAACCGAAAGCAAAGCUGGCCAGCUUAAGAUCUGAAACUACUCGAAAAAUGACCGCAUCUACAAAAAAUGCCAUUGAAUCAAAUCUGUAAGCAUUUCGGGCCUUCCACACGUGCCAGAGGAUGAAACAAGGAAGUAGAACUCAAAUAUGGUUUCGGGAAGGAGCACAGCGCCUCCAGUGGCGAAGCAGCGCAUGAGGGGAGCGUUAUCUUUACUUGAUUUGCAAUAAGGUAAAGAAGUCAAUUGGGUAAUUUUUUUCUGUGAGAGUGAAUUGCGGCAAACGUGAGCAAAUUUUGCAUCAUUGUGCAUUUUGUUGUAGAAUGAGGAGAGUCAAUUUUCCUGACUAUCUAGACGAGUCUUUAGUUGAAUCUCUCCAUGGCCAUAAGUGGCCGGCAUAGACCAAAUCCUGAAACUGGUCAUAGUCCAAUAUGCAGACCACUCUGACUAUGGUCAAGACACUGGAAAAUGGUGAACGUUAGCUAAGUUUUGAAAGUUACCAAAAUUUAAUAAUAUCAUGUUUCUGAUUUCUAAUCAUGUUUUUUAUUUUGAAGAUUUCAGUUUUGACAAUUUGACUAAAUAAAUAUGCGGGUUAAAAUUUUCAUGAUCUAAAAAAAUGUAACGAGAACUAAUAAAAUUUAUUAUUUUAUUACGGUUUAUAUCAUUUGAAAUGUUGAUUCAAUAUAAAUGAUAUGUCCGGCCUUGUGGUGGCUGGUGGGUGCAAUUUGAGAUGGUAAAAUUUUUUUAUUUUGAAGACAAGAUGUGAAUCCCAUUUAAUAUUAUUAUUAAAUUAAGCAGUAUAAAGAAGUUAAGCAACCCAAAACCAUAAAGAAGUCAAACAGGCUAGAAGCCGUAAAGAAGUCUAGAAGCCAUAAAGAAACCGAAUAUCAUAAACUAAAGAAAAGAUAAAAUAUAGAGUAAUAACAGCAGCAAAAAAACAGAGAACAGUAGCGCCACAACAGAUCUAAUACUUGUCCGUUUGUAAUCAUAUGUUUGCUGUUGUUCUUUGUUUAUUGCAGCUGCUAUUACUCUCAUUUUAGCUUUUCCUUAGCUUAUGAUCUUCGGUUUCUAUAUGGCUUCUUGGCUGCUUAACUUCUUUACGGCUUCCAGGCCGCUUGACCUCUUAACGUCUCCUAAGUGUUUGACUUCUUUAUGGUUUACCCCAAAAUGACCGAAGUGUUCCACAUUUAUGUAUUUUAAAGAGGUGCAACCUCAAGAUUGUAAUUUGUAAAGGGCAUAAUUGUCAGUUCAAUUAGCUUAGUUGACUUGGGGAAGGACUAUAACAUCGUUCUUCUUCUCUAUGUCGGUCUGUCUAGCUGUUGUCUUUCUCUUAUGAGCAAUAAAACAAUACAUGAUAUGUAAAUUAUUUUUCACUCAAGUAUCUAUCUUGAUAGCACAGAAUUUGUUGUUGUUGCAGCAGCCAUGGCAAUCAUCAAGAACAAUUCAUGGUUGAUGCUUUUUGUUCUUUUUACGUGCUUUUCACUCAAAUCCCAUGUCUCCUUCGGAGCUGACACCGUUUCUGCAAACCAAUCUCUCUCUGGCGAUCAAACGAUCGUUCAAGGCGGAUGUACGGUACAGCAGUUCCUUCACGAGAAGUUGCAGCUCAGCAGGUUCUCUUCGGUUUUAAGAAUCUCAGAUGGUAACUUAGUUCUUUUUAAUGAGUCCCAACUACCCAUUUGGUCCACAAAUUUGACCGCUACCAGCAGACGUUCUGUGGAAGCAGUUCUUUUAGAUGAAGGAAAUCUUGUUUUGAGAGAUUUGUCAAAUAAUUUGUCAAAGCCUUUAUGGCAAAGUUUUGAUCAUCCAGCUCAUACUUGGAUUCCCGGUAUGAAGCUGACGUUCAACAAGAGAAACAACGUCAGUCAACUUAUCACUUCAUGGAAGAAUAAAGAAAAUCCUGCACCGGGUCUCUUCUCCCUUGAGCGAGCACCAGAUGGAUCAAAUCAAUAUGUUAUGUUGUGGAAUAGGUCUGAGCAGUACUGGUCAAGUGGACCUUGGGAUGAGAAUGCAAAAAUUUUCAGCAUGGUCCCUGAAAUGAAUCAAAACUAUAUCUACAAUUUCAGCUAUGUGUCGAAUGAAAACGAGAGCUAUUUCACCAACAAUGUGAAAGAUAGCACUUACACAUCUCGAUUCAUUAUGGAUGUUUCAGGACAGGUUAAGCAGAUGAAUUGGUUGCCUACCAACUCUUGGUUUCUGUUUUGGUCCCAACCAAGACAGCAAUGCGAGGUUUAUGCUCUUUGUGGUCAAUUUAGCACCUGCAAUCAGCAAACUGAGCGUUUUUGUUCUUGUUUGAAAGGUUUUCAACAAAAAUCGGUGAGUGACUGGAAUUUGGAAGAUUAUUCUGGUGGUUGUGUGAGGAAAACCCCGCUGCAGUGUGAAAAUAUUAGUCCUGCCAAUAGAAAAAGCGACCAAUUUUUCCAGUACAGUAACAUGAAAUUGCCUAAACAUCCACAAUCUGUGGCAGUAGGGGGUAUCAGGGAAUGUGAAACACACUGCUUGAAUAACUGCUCUUGCACUGCUUAUGCUUACAAAGACAACGCUUGCUCGAUUUGGGUAGGAAGUUUCGUGGGUCUGCAACAGCUACAAGGAGGUGGAGAUAUCAUUUAUAUCAAGCUUGCAGCUUCUGAGUUCGAGAGUCCCAAGAACAAGAAGGGAGUAGUCAUUGGCGGUGUUGUGGGCUCAGUGGCUGUCGUAGCUCUUAUUGGCCUGAUCAUGCUUGUAUACUUGGGAAGGAGAAAGACAGCAACUGUAACAACCAAAACUGUGGAGGGUUCUUUGGUGGCAUUUGCAUGCAAGGAUUUGCAAACUGCCACAAAGAAUUUCUCUAAAAAGCUGGGGGGAGGAGGUUUUGGUUCAGUUUUCAAAGGGGUGUUUCCGAAUUCAAGUCUCAUAGCUGUGAAGAAGCUUGAAAGCUUGAGCCAAGGAGAGAAGCAAUUUCGGACUGAAGUCAGAACCAUAGGGAAUAUCCAACAUGUCAAUCUGGUUCGGCUUCUGGGUUUCUGCUCUGAAGGUACUAGUAGGUUGUUGGUCUACGAUUUCAUGCCAAACGGUUCUUUAGACUCUCAUCUCUUCACUGAAAAAGAUUCAGACUUUCUUGAUUGGAAGACAAGAUACCAAAUUGCACUGGGGACAGCCAGAGGUUUGGCUUAUCUCCAUGAGAAGUGCAGAGACUGCAUCAUACACUGUGACAUAAAGCCAGAGAACAUUCUGUUAGACGCUGAAUUUUGUCCCAAAGUGUCGGAUUUUGGGCUGGCAAAGCUUGUUGGGAGGGAGUUCAGCCGUGUCCUAACAACCAUGAGAGGAACAAGAGGUUACCUUGCACCUGAAUGGAUUUCAGGAGUGGCCAUAACAGCCAAAGCGGAUGUCUACAGCUAUGGAAUGAUGCUGUAUGAAUUUGUAUCAGGAAGGAGGAACUCCCAGGAAUCUGAAGAUGGUAAAGUGAAGUUCUUCCCAUCUUGGGCUGCUAAACAAAUAGUUGAAGGCAGCAAUCUCAUUAGCCUAUUAGACCCAAGACUGGAGGGCAACGCUGACGAAGUAGAGCUUGCAAGACUUUGCAAAGUGGCUUGUUGGUGCAUCCAAGAUGAUGAGACUCACAGGCCAUCAAUGGGUCAAGUAGUUCAAAUUCUUGAGGGAGUUUUGGACGUGACACUGCCUCCAAUUCCCAGAGCUCUCCAAGUAAUGGUCGAUGACCAUGAGCACGUAGUCUUCUUCACUGAAUCAUCCACAUCUCAGAGUUCCCUGUCAAAGAGCAACAAUUCAACUGCUUCAUCUCAAGCAAAGAGUACCACAUCAUCAAGAAGUUCUUAAAUCGAUGUGAAGAAAAUAUUUUAACAUUUGUGUUUAAGAAUAUAUAUUUGGUUUAUUUCACUUGUAACAACCUGUAUGCAUAUUUGGAUAGAAGCCUUGCUUCGUAGUGUGUAUAAUAAUAAUGGAACCUGCCAAAGCAAUUUUAAGAAUUACAAGCCUUGUGCCUCGCUGUUCUCUCUAAUGAACUCUGAUUGAUCUAUGCUCCUCUGCAUUGACUAUUGGCUUCACCUAAUCGCUUCAAUUGGCAAAAUUAGGUAUUGAAAUAAAAGUGACUUGGAACUUGGAUGUUAUCCCGAAGAAGGGGAAAAACAGAAAAACAAUCAAACAAAUAAACAUAAACGUGACGUUGUAACAAAUAAUGUUUGGUAGUAUAUGAUAUGCAUACAUAAAUCGAAAACCAUAAAAUGUAAAAUAACUAGGUUAAGUGUGGUUAACUAAUCGAGACUUAAGUCUUAAUUUCUCUUAUAAAAACUUAAGUGUUGUAUCUAAGUCCGUCGUCAAUUUAAUACUUUUAAUAUAAGUUAUUAUUUAGAAAAGAAGGUGUGUUCAAUGAAUGACUUAUUUAUGAGUGCUAAUUAGAUUAAAAUUUAGAAUUUAGGAUAAAUUUACAGAAUCAUAAAUUAAUUUAUAAUAUUAUGAAAAUUAAUUUAUGACAUCAUAAAUUUGUCCCAAAUUUUGAAUUCAAACUUUAAUUUCAGAUUGAAAAAUUUUUCUCUAUCCAUAAAGUGUUUGGUUAAGGGGAAAAAAAUCAAAAGAAAAAAAAUCUAGGUGGGUGGUAUGACGUGGGGUUUACGUUUAAUGCGUAAAACAUGAUUUUAAUGUUUAUUUCUCACGAGGCAACAUUGAGAAUAUCGGAGUUGAGUUUAACACAAUUAAUCCUUAGCAAAUAUAUUAAAGCGAUUACACUUCCUGUCUCUCGUCUCAUGCAUGUUACUGCUGAUUGCCUUUGAUAUUUUAAACCAAUUUUGAUUCACCAAAUAAUCAAUCGAUUAAUUUAUUUGCUCUAAAUUCUCAUAACUUAUCCACUACAGAUUUCCAAUGCGGACUCAAGUAUGAAGUUUUUCUAGCCUCAUAUUUGCAUUCGUAAUUAUCACGUCACAUGUACAAGAGAAUGAUUUGAUAUACAAUUGAACAGAUAUUAAUGAAUCUAGAGUAGUUUCAAAUUAGUCAUCGACAUAAUUGAUGCUAAAAUAAUUUCUAAGAGACAAAUUUUAAUCUCAAAUCCCCCAAAAAAAAGAGUAGAUAAUUAAAAAAAAAAAAGCACAAACAAUUGCAAAAAGCUAUUUUUUAUAGUUUCACUUCAGUUCACAGCCUCCUCAUAUCGAGAAACAGCUUCUGAUCAAGCUCAAACUCUUGAAACAUAUUAUUUGUUACAUAUUUUUCAUGAACCAACUGGCCAACAUUGUUGAACUGUCGAUAUUUUUAUUGACUUCAAUUGACUAACAAGUUUCCUUCUUUUCUUGAAGGAUGGCUUUGACGGCGUUUCUUGAAGGAUGACUUGGACCUCUCGUUGAUUCGCGUCCUCGAUAUUGGUUCGUGACAUUCGAUCUCCCUGAUCUCGCCGCCUUCCGGAGAGAAGACGUUUGUCAAAGUUAUCGCAAUCGACGCUUGCCAUUGUCCUGGUAAGUCAUGGUUAAGCUAACAGUAACAAUAACGGCAUUGAUAACUGUUAGAACACUAAUAGUUUAUUUUAUUACUUGUUUUAAUUCAUUUCUUCUUAGCAUUAGGUUUUUUUUUUCAAUUAUAAAUUAAUGUUUUUAUUAAAUUAUAGUUAGGACUGUCUUAAACGAUUAUAAAUAAAUAGUUUUUAUUAUAUUUUUGAGGAAAUAAUAAUAAAAUUAAUUCUAAUUUCUGUUAAUUCUUUUCUCUUCCCUCUGAAUUCUUAAAUUCAUUAUUUAUUUCUCUUUUAACUCUCUAAUCAAAACCUUAGAAUCCUACCAUCUGGUAUUAGAGCACAUCCUUCCUGCCACAAUUUUUAUUUUUCCAUUCACUAUUUUUUUUUAAAAGUCAUCAACCAAACUUUUGCCAAUAUCUCUUGGCUUUUGACUGGAGACUUAAACCGGACCCACCCUCUAAACUUUUUCCAAUAUCUAAACUUUUUCAACCGAACUUGAAUUUUCUUGAGAGUUUUUUUGAGGCAUCAUGAUUGGUAAGGAGCUUGAAGGCAAAGUUCAACAGUUUCAUGACAAAGUUACAACCAUCGAUGAAAAGGUUACGACCUUAGCCAAGCAAAAUAACGAUCUGCAGGAACUCAUGAACGACAUCCUUCAGCAAUUGAGCCAGUUGCGAAAAGGAAAACAACCGACUACUGAUCAAAGACAAGUUGAUAUAUUUACUGGAGGGACCUCUGCUCCUCAAAUGGUAAUUGCUAUCCAACCACCUCUUGAACCUGCCGAACGCAUUGGAAGUACUCUCAUGCAAGCUCGUAACAUAUGACUUGACUUUCCUAUUUUUCACGGUGACAAUCGAACGGGAUGGAUUUUUCGAUAUGAGCAAUAUCGUUGCCUUACUGGAUUAUCAAAUGUUGACUUAUUGUGCUUAGCUAUUGGCCAUCUUGAUGGUGAUACUGUACCUUGGUUUCAUUGGAUAGAGCAAACUAUGGGCGAAAUGACUUGGGCGCAAUUUAAAUGGGCUUUCACUACUCAAUUUGGGACAUUAGAAGAGAAUGAUGCAGUUGGCAGUCUUACCAAAUUACAUCAAAUAGGGACAGUUCUUGACUAUCAACGACAAUUUCAAAAGUUGACCGAUCAGACUAGCAAUUUAACUGAGUCUUUCUUCAUCAGUUGUUUCCUUUAUGGGUUACAUGAAGAUAUCAAGGCUGGCGUACAACUGUUCAAACCUGUUAGUCUCGUACAAACUUUUGAACUUGCUAGGUUUAGUAAAAGACAAUUACUUUGCAAGGCAACUGUUCCCCCGUUCCCGCCAUCCAAGAUCUAGUCCCACAAUUACAGUUGACUCCUACUCCACCAGCAGCAGACAGAAAGACGUUCUAAAGGGCUUUGUUUCAACUGUGACGAGCAAUUUAAGCCUGGGCAUUGUUGCAAACAAUCUCAACUAAUGCUUUUAGACGUUGAUAUAACUCUUCACAACCCUCCAAAACCGCCUGACCAUCAUUCAGAUUGGAAGAUCUCGAUUAUUGAGACUAGGUAAAAGGCUUGCAGACAAGCCUGUUUUAAUGGGCAGGGAAUGUUAGGACCCUAAUAAUUUAUUUUAUUGCUUGUUUUAAUUUUUUUCCUAUUAAUAUUAGGUUUUCUUAUUUCAAUUAUGAAUUAAUGCUCUUAUUAAAUUAUAAUUAGGACCGUCUUGAACUACUAUAAAUAAGUGGUUCUUAUUAUAGUUUUGAGGGAGCAACAAUAAAAUUAAUUCUAAUCUCAUUUAAUUCUUCUCUCUUCCCUCCGAAUUCUUAAAUUCUUCAUCUAUUUCUCCCCUAAUUCUCUGACCAAAACCUCAUAAUCCUACUAGUAACGGACUGCAUUACGUUCGAGAAGACAAUUUACACACACACAAGAUAAUAAAGGCAUUUAAAUCACCCAAUUAAGUUGUAUAGCGAUAAAUAAUUAAAUUACAAAAAGCUCGACAUAUACUGAAAAAUAAAAAAGAAAUUCAACAAAGUCAUAAAUUUAUUGACAUCUGAAUUCUGAAAAUAUGGUGUGUGUCUUCAGUUGGGAAAGUUAUAAUUUGCAUACGGUUAUUUUUAUUGAUAUUUAAUACCUCUAUUUUAUGUUCAAUUGGAAGGAAUUCUAGGCAGUUCAAUUUUCUACUUACGGUAUUAUCACGAUCGUUGUUAUUGAGAAAAUUUUGGCAAUUUUUUUGAUUGAUCAUGAUGAUUUUAGUACGUGGCAGGCUCGGUGAUGUUGUUAUUUCGCGGAGCAUUUGGAUGCUUGCUCUAUACUGGUGAUUUUCGCUGGGAAGCAAGUAAUAAGAGGGCUGAGAUAGGAAGGAACACGCUCGUCAAAGCUUUAAAAGAUGAUGUAGUCGACAUUCUUUAUUUGGAUAACACAUAUUGCAGUCCAUCAUAUGCUUUUGCUUCAGGAGAAGUUGCAGCUCAGCAGGUACACUUUUUAUAUUUUUCCUUUCUUGUUUGAGAACUUUCAGUUUCACUCCAGAAUUAUCUACUGAAUUAAAGAUUAAAAUGGGAGAUGAAAGAAAUAGUCCAGGUACUGAUUUGUAGUGUUAGUUAUCUGGAUGAAAACAGAUUGUUGACAUAAUUGCCUCCCAUCCAGAUCAUGACAUCAUCAUUGGGAUUGACUCACUUGGAAAAGAAAAACUUUUAUUUCACAUAUCGCAUAAGCUCAAUAUAAAGGUUUGCUCACCCUUUUAAUAUCGGAAAACCUUUUCUUACAUAACGAUCAUCACGAUGGUCUCUCCAAGGGGGAUGAAAUCGAUAGCAUAUAUACAGCAAAUUGACAUGUUAUCUAAUUUUUGGAUCACUUGUAGAUGAUUUAGGAGUAUCUUGAUAGUUUUUAUUCUUCUAACAUCUAACAUAUGUUUUACAUUUUAGAAACUGGGCGGGUUAGAUUGUCCUUUGGUGGAUUUAAUUGUGGCCAAAUUCAUACAUGAAAUGUAUUGUCACACAUGUAUUAUUGGAUGCAUCCAAUUGUAUGUUCUUCCUCUUCAUGUGCCAUGAGAACUUAAAACUGCCCUCUUCAUCUCUUGCAAAUUGUUGUUUAGUCACAAGCAAGUGGAAUAAAAAUUUUUGCAUUUAUUUCCAAAGCAGAUAUUUACUCUGUAUUUCUUGUUUCACAUUUUUUUUAUAGAUUUGGGUGUGGCCAGAACGCCUGCAAACCAUGCAUCUGCUUGGCUUCCAUGACAUAUUCACAACCAAAACUUCUCUUACUAGAGUGCGAGUUGUUCCACGGUAUAGUUUUAGCAUUGAUACUUUAGAGAGUUUAAAUACAAUGCACCCAACGAUUGGAAUUAUGCCAUCUGGUCUUCCUUGGGUGGUUAAGUCUCUUAAAGGAGGUAGUAGUCUUCCUGGUUUUCUUUUUCCUUCUUACCAAAGCAAAUGGAGAGCAACGGGUGGAACUCACACUGAGAAACUGAAAGAAGCUUUAGGCGGGCCCGACGAGGUGCGAAGCUUGCUCGAAGUGAGAGUUCUGAUUGAUUAGGGUCAAAUAUCGAUAUCAGUUAAGCUUGAAAUUCUUGCAAGUAAUGUUACUUGUAUCGGUUUGAAUUCAGAGUCUAUUGUAUGGUUGAAGAAUACAUAUGAUGGUGUAGGGUGUAAGUAAUAUAAUCCUUUUAUUUAUUUAUUUAUCUUGGAUGUCUAAAGCGACGGCCUAUUAGUGCUCAUUAAGGAAAAUGGUUGUGUGAAAGCACUUCGUCUGGAUCAGUCAUUUGACUGUUUACGCCUGGAUCAGUCAUUUGAUUGUUUACGCGGGAUAGGUAUAGUGGCUUUUUGGUUUAGAUUAUUAUAGUUGUUUUCAAACUCGUGGCCUUUAAACACAUUAUAGUUUGACAAUCAUGGUCUUUACUUGAUUUGCAAUAAGGUAAAGAAGUCAAAUGGGUAAUUAUUUUCUGUGAGAGUGAAUUGCGGCAAACAUGAGCAAUUUUUGCAUCAUUGUGCAUUUUGUUGUAGAAUGAGGAGAGUCAACUUUCCUGACCAUCUAGAUGAACCCUUAGUUGAAUCUCUCCAUGGCCAUAAGUGGGCGGCAUAGACCAAAUCCUGAAACUAGUCAUGGUCUAAUAUGCAAACCACUCUGACUAUGGCCAAGACACUGGAAAAUGGUGAAUGUUAACUUAGUUUUGAAAGUUAUCAAAUUUAAUAAAACAAAUCAAAUUUAUAAAGUUUUAAAAGUUAUCAAAAUUUAAUAAAACAAAUCAAAUUUAUAAAGUUUUAAAAGUUAUCAAAAUUUAAUAAAACAAAUCAAAUUUAUAAAGUUUUAAAAGUUAUCAAAAUUUAAUAAAACAAAUCAAAUUUAUAAAGUUUUAAAAGUUAUCAAAAUUUAAUAAAACAAAUCAAAUUUAUAAAGUUUUAAAAGUUAUCAAAAUUUAAUAAAACAAAUCAAAUUUAUAAAGUUUUGAAAGUUAUCAAAAUUUAAUAAAAAAAAUCAAAUUUAUAAUUAGGGGUCCAGCUACGGUGCCCCUUUGGGCACGGUGUCCCCUUCUUUUGUCAUUAUCCAGGCUAGCCGUUAGAUUAUAAUGACUUUAAUCCAACGUUUCGGAUUUUGAAACUGUACAAUGAUGUGAAGUGGGCAACUGUCCAAUCCCGAUAUACUAAUACUAUUGUAGCUCUAAAUAAGAAGUAAUAAGAUUAUUAACACUAUAAGGUUAAUGGAAGGAAAAUCUAUCUAAGCCUGAAAUGAUACAAACUACAUAUGUUCGAAUUUAUGGUAGCUGAAAAAUCUUUCAUGAUUUGUUCUACUCCUUGAUCACAUAAGUGGGUUGAAUUAAUUUAUAUAUUUGAAAUUAGGUGGUUGAAUAACGAUGGCAUGACCAUAUGGAUUCAAUUUCUUGAUGGACCAAUAACCUUGUUUCGACUGAAAUCAAUACGUGCAAGUAGUCAAUUUGACAGUUGACAUAAACUGUGCUUUUGAAUUGCAAUGGAACAUAAAUGAACAAGCUUUCAUCUAGCUUUACAGAGUGUGAACUAAAUGGUGUAGCAAAUAUAAAUGAAAGAAGAAGGAGCCCGAGGGGUGGAGGCGUUAAGAACUUAAAUAGCAGGUUUUAUUCUGUCGAAAUACUACAAGCACAUUUGUAAUAUUCAAAAGAUGCUGCAACUGUAGUUCUUAGUAUUUCGAGUCAGAAAACUAAGCUUCAAUAUCAUGACAUAACAAAAUAUACAAUAAAAAUUGCACGGACAUAAUAAUUGUCAUAUUUCCAUAACAACGUUACCAAGUCCGUAAAAGCUAGGAAUAACAAAACACAUAAAAAUAGUUUCAUAUUAGAGAAUAUCUGAAUUUACAGAGCAUAGAUUAUGUCUAAAUUUCCUGGUUGGUUGAGUUUCUUCGAUGAUCUUGUUCGAAAGCUAAUACCAUUCGUUUCUAAAAUGUACCUCACAGUAUCAAUCAUCUCAAUUAAACUGCCACAAAGUUUCCUCUUUAGCCUACCACAGUUGUAGCAAACUACCAAAACCCAUUUGACAAGCAGCCACUCUUUGUUCAUCUAUCAGCUACGAAACUGCUGCCGCUAAUCUAUCUGGGGCGAAUCUAGUCAAGAACUUUGCCUUUGCCACUUCUGACUUCACUAUUUGUUCGCAUUCAAUUUGUAUUAACAUUUUCUCUCCGGUGGUAAAUCCUUAAACGUGGAUCCAAUUUCCAUCUAGUACACAAUCAUGGCAGAUAAACUAACUACAUCUCCACUAAUUGAAAAUACAAAUUUAUUUUAUCUUUAUAGUGCAACUUUACAUACCUCUUCUGUAAUGCAAGUCAUUCCAUCGCUUGCCUUAACCUCAUGCACGGCUUCACUGCUGCAAUAUCAUCAUAUGACUGCAAAAUUAUACAUCUCUAUAAUUUUUAAUGAACUAAGCUUACAAAUAUCUUAUGAACCCAUUAUGGCAUUUCCUUUUUCUUCUUCCUUCAAUACUUUGAUCGUCACCAACCUCUUUAACACCGCCAUCAAUCUCACACGAUUUAUGCUUAUUACUUCCCACCAACUUAAUUUAUGAAAUUCAGUGAUACAUUUAUUUAUUAUAAUCAAACUAAAGUUCAUAGCAACAUAAAGUUUACAUUCCUAGUCCAGCACAAAACAAACAAAAAAAUUGGGGAAAAAAAUAAACAAAGGAGAUCUGGAACGAAGGUAAAGCAUGUAUCAUUUUCCUGUUCCUAAUUUUAAAAAUGUUCAUUGUAAAACUUAAUAACACCCAAGCUAACUGGAACUAAUUGUUACGGAUUCAAAUAUCAUUUUAAUACAUGGAAUUACUAAGAUGAAUAUUAUGACAAAAAAAUCCUUUACAUUAUUACAUUGUUGAGAAAAUAUCCAUAACUUUAUUUUAAAAUAUUUGUGCACCCCAAUUUUGCCAUUAUCCUUAUGAGAUCUAGCUUCCCACCAACCAUAUUAUGAACAACAAAUGAUUCACAUCACAAAUCUCAUAUUAAAAUUACACUUACCUUAAAUUUGGUAUAUGCAAUCCUUUCUGUUUCAUUCAAUACUGCUAUAACAAACUACAAGUCACUGCACUCCACUUCAAAAAUUUGACACGACAUCAUUGCUCCAAUUACAGUUAUACAGAAUUAAGAAAAUAUUCCUGCUUUAAAAAUUUCGCCAAUGUCUGUUGAAAUACAACCAAGGGUAUGUAGAGGGUCCAGCUACAAUAUCCAUGGGGUUUGGUACCCCAUUUUUUGUUUUUUUCAAACCUACCGUUAGAUUUAACGUAAGUGCAUAAUGGCUGAGAUGUGAUUAUUGAGUUAUUAACAUCAAAGACCCUUAUUGUUCAUGUAAAAUAAAAAAAAAUCAAAAGUUUUGAAAUUAUGACAUAUAAGUCAAUAAUAUUCUCUUUUUUUUUUAACUCUAUUGAAAUAUGUUUCCAAUUAAAUGACUUAUUCUUAUAUUUAUUAGUAUCUAUUUAAAUUAAUAAAUUUAUUAAUUAAUAAAUUAACUACUUUAUUAUAUAAUUAAACUAUGUAUAUUAUUUAUUAAGGGUUAUUUUUAGAGACCUCCCCUGAGGUUUGGUGUAUUGACAGUCUGAUAGAAAGUAUUCACGUAAUUACAGGGACCUCCCCUGACGGUACUACAUGGUUAACUUGACUGUUAGUGGACUAACGAAAAGCCAAAAAUGCCCUGAGCCUAAAAAAUGCUUUGGCAGUUAACAAUUUCUUUAAUGAUAGUAACUACAGUUUGGCGUUAAACAUCACACUAAAACACUAAAAAGUCUAAACUGACCAUUUAAAACAAAUCAUUGACAUUACAUAAUAUUAAAAAAAGGAGAAAAAUAUAAAUUGACAAAAUCAACAAAGCUAUCAAUGUAGUGAAUAUUUACAGCAACAAUGGUUGUAAAUACAGCCAUUGUCAAGUUAAAAUCACCAUUACAACCAUUGCUUCUUUAACUUUCAUCUCACAAUUUCUUCCUUCAUCAUUCAACAUCUCAAAAGCUCAAUAAUUAGUAAGCUGCUUCAAUAAAACAAUAAACAAACCAUAAUUCACUUUUCAAUGCAUUCAAAAUACACAACGAAUAUUCCUUAGCCAUUUAAAUUGAAGCCAAAGAAGAAAAGAAAAGAAAAAAAAUCUUCCUUUGUUAUUCCAAGUUUCACACCACUAGCCAUAUGAAGAAGGCAGACUAAAGCGUAAGAAAAUGCUACUGCCACAGCAAAAGUCUAGACCAAUUGGGUAAUGAUACCUGCCAUGCCAAUUUCAAGGCAAGCAAAAAUCAAUUAUCAUCCCCAGACCAAAAUACCAGCAAACCUACCUUUUGAAUUUAAAUAAUAAGUAAAUAAAUCAAAGAUUUCAACUCAUUUAAGUUUGAAAUCAAUUAAAAUAGCCAAAAAGAAAAAAAAAAUUCGUCCAACAUAACUUAUCCAGCAAUUUCUUCAACACAUAAUUUCAUUCUUAAUCAUCACAACAAUUAAAAAAGAAAAACAAUGAGCCCAAGUGAUUGAUCUUGCCAUAAUGUACUCCUACCAGCAACCGAAGUCGAGCAUACAUACGACGAUCUUCGUGCGUGAAUAGCCGGGAGGAAAGAAAGGGCGGUAGAUGAUAAUGAAAAAGAUGCGAUCGAGUUUGCUGUAGAAAUUUCUACUCUCCGAUUAGACCCAAAGCUUGUUCAAAAGGGUCUCCUUUUCCUCCGUUGAGAUCAAAUCCCUACCGACGAGCUGCCAACAACUAACAAGGGUCACUACGAAUAGCUAACAACUGCUUUGCUACUACUGGCUCACUCUGAACGAGAUUCCGAUCCCCUGUCUCGUGAGCAAAGCCUUCGAUUCCUUCACGUAGGCCGAGACGGAUUGGUUCAAAAGCUUCUCCAGAGCUUUUCAACCUUGAAAAUGGUUGUGGGUUUCGUUUAAUGAGAGAGAAAAUAGUGUUUUGGUUCUUUGAUUUUUUUUUUAAUUUAUGAAAUCACUAAUUUACCCUCAUAUACUAACAUAUACGAAAACGUGUACUAACGUUAGGGGAAGUCUCUGUAAUUACACAAAUACUUUCUAUCAGAUUGUCAAUACACUAAAACUCAAGGGAGAUCCUUAAAAAUAACUCUAUUUACUAACUAUAAUUAAUAAUAACAAUAAAUAUAAAUAUGAUCUUUUUUUAAUUUAAUAUAACGACAACUAAUUUCUUUUGACGUAUGUGAAUAAAGUUCAAAACCCAUAAUUUUUUUUUCCGCCAGACGGUGACCCUUGUGGGUCUAUCAACAAUUCAAAGAUUGCACAACUUGAUUGUCCGUUUCCAAUCACUCAUUUCUUUCUCUCUGGCCAACCAAACGCGUAAAACUGAUUAACGUUGUUGAUGGAGUUUUAAAUAUGAUCAAAUGGCUGUGAUUGUUUGUAGGCUUGGUCCUAUAAAGCUCAAUCGACCUACAAGCCAAUAAAAAAAAUUAAUUGAAAUUGCUAGCACUAGCCGCAACUGGGCCCCAUUCACAUUACGAGGUUCACCUCCUCUAGAACUUGUACAGGUGGACAUGGUUACAAACUAUUGCUUUUGUAGAAACAAUCCAAGUUGAUGUCUAGGGUGGAUAUUAAAAUCUUGCUGACGUGGCUGAAUCUGUUAUAUUGGUUUAAGAAUUACUACAUGCAUGUGUAACAGCUUAUUAACAAGGAAUUGACACUUGUUAUAUAUGUGUGUAAAAUACAUUGAUUCAAUAAUAAGAAGUUUUCAGUUUAUCAAUAUUUUCUUUCUCUUCCGUUUAACUUUCUCGUUUACCAAAUACAACAUUUGGUUUUCUUUCACAAAGUGUCGGAUUUUGGGCUGGCAAAGCUUGUUGGGAGGGAGUUCAGCCGUGUCCUAACAACCAUGAGAGGAACAAGAGGUUACCUUGCACCUGAAUGGAUAUCAGGAGUGGCCAUAACAGCCAAAGCGGAUGUCUACAGCUGCGGAAUGAUGCUGUUUGAAUUUGUAUCGGGAAGGAGGAACUCUGAGGAAUUUGAAGAUGGUAAAGUGAGGUUCUUCCCAUCUUGGGCUGCUAAACAAAUAGUUGAAGGCAGCAAUCUCAUUAGCCUAUUAGACCCAAGACUGGAGGGCAACGCAUAGGAAGAAGAGCUUGCAAGACUUUGCAAAGUGGCUUGUUGGUGCAUCCAAGAUGAUGAAACUCACAGGCCAUCAAUGGGUCAAGUAGGUCAAAUUCUUGAGGGAGUUUUGGACGUGACACUGCCUCCAAUUCCCAGAGCUCUCCAAGUAAUGGUCGAAUCAAAGAGCAACAAUUCAACUGCUUCAUCUCAAGCAAAGAGCACCACAUUAUCAAGAAGUUCUUAAAUCGAUGUGAAGAAAAUAUUUUAACAUUUGUGUUUAAGAAUAUAUAUUUGGUUUAUUUCACUUGUAACAACCUGUAUGCAUAUUUGGAUAGAAGCCUUGCUUCGUAGUGUGUAUAAUAAUAAUGGAACCUGCCAAAGCAAUUUUAAGAAUUACAAGCCUUGUGCCUCGCUGUUCUCUCUAAUGAACUCUGAUUGA